rnacentral:misc_RNA from 1 species
UUAGUCUGCCAUUUUUUUUCUUGACAUAAAAAAAGAUAAGGAAAUGGCUCCAUGUGCUCUGAUUCAUUAUUUGGGAGCAUUACCAAAGUGUUUCAAAGGUGGGAUUAUCUUGACGUAGGUCUGUCUCUGGCCUAGAUCAACCUAAGUUAAAUGAAGUCUCUAUCGUUCUGCUUAAAAAUCAAAUAUGAAACUUCAUACACCUUAA